AAGCUAACCGACUUACUUCAAACAUAAAUACUAUAGGUACUCCGUGCGGGGAAAACAUACUGAGAGGAGCUGAAUGUUUUAAGAGAUGAUCACUGAGUACCAAAAGACCAAAACAAAACAAAAAAGGUGGAAAACAGGGGAAGUUCCAACGAUUACGCCAACUCAUUUGGAGAAGAAAAUUUUCAAAGGAAUUGUCCCGGAGUUGGUGAGAGAAGUGGCCAAAGCGUGGCCUAGUGCUCCCUAGUCAUGGAUGGAAAAAGUCUAGAAAAAGAAUUCGAAGUCAGUAUCGAUGCCAUAGCAUAUAUGAAUGCGUGUACAUACAUAUGUACAUGCAUAUAGACGUUCGCUGUAUUUGAGCUUCUGCCAGCCAGCCCUUUGUCGUCGCAAGUCUCUGUAGCUGUUGGGCAGGCCAUAGAGAAAGUAUAUGGAUAGUCCUACACAUAUAUGUAUAUAUAGAAAACGAAUUAGUUCAAUUUAUAGAUUAAAUAGUUCAGGCAUGCAUUUGGCUAAUUGCUUUCAACCUUAUUAUACCACAUUUAUUUUACUAAAUAUUUUUUAUAGUCUACGACUAGUUUCAGUAUGGUAAACGAUUGUGUGUAAUUAAUAAUAUUAUAAUACAAACACACAUAUAUUUAAUUCCCCAAGUUACAUUUUCUACCAUCACAA